rnacentral:rRNA from 1 species
AUUGAACGCUGGCGGCAUGCCUUACACAUGCAAGUCGAACGGCAGCACGGGAGCAAUCCUGGUGGCGAGUGGCGAACGGGUGAGUAAUAUAUCGGAACGUGCCCAGUCGUGGGGGAUAACGCAGCGAAAGCUGUGCUAAUACCGCAUACGAUCUACGGAUGAAAGCAGGGGAUCGCAAGACCUCGCGCGAUUGGAGCGGCCGAUAUCAGAUUAGCUAGUUGGUGGGGUAAAGGCCUACCAAGGCGACGAUCUGUAGCUGGUCUGAGAGGACGAUCAGCCACACUGGGACUGAGACACGGCCCAGACUCCUACGGGAGGCAGCAGUGGGGAAUUUUGGAAAAUGGGCGCAAGCCUGAUCCAGCAAUGCCGCGUGCAGGAUGAAGGCCUUCGGGUUGUAAACUGCUUUUGUACGGAACGAAAAGCCCUGGGUUAAUACCCUGGGGUCAUGACGGUACCGUAAGAAUAAGCACCGGCUAACUACGUGCCAGCAGCCGCCGUAACAC